GCUGCGGGGUGCCCGGGGGGAUGGCCCAGCGCCGGCUGUGCCCGUGGGGAGGUGCCCGCGGGGGUGUCCUGGGGGCCAGCGUGGAUUCGUGCCCGGUGGGGUGACCUGAAGCCUGGUGUGUGCUCGUACAGGAAUCCAGUGCAGUGUCCCAGUGCUCACUGUGUGUUCUGGGUGCCCAGUGCAGUGUCCCAGUACCCACUCUGUGCUCAUACAGGUACUCAGGGUGCUGUCCCAGUACCCACUGUAUGCUGUGGGAACCCAGUGCAGUUCCCAGUACCCACUCUGUGCUCGUACAGGUGCCCAGGGUGCUGUCCCAGUGCUCACUGUAUGCUGUGGGUGCCCAGUGCAGUGUCCCAGUACCCACUCUGUGCUCGUACAGGUGCCCAGGGUGCUGUCCCAGUGCUCACUGUGUGUUCUGUAGGCUUCCAGAGCUGUGCCCCUGUCCGCAGUGUGUGCUGGCACCGGAUCCAGGGGCAGUGCCCCUGUGCGUGCCCAGAGCACCAAGGCCCAGUUGGUCCAAGUGUCCAGGACAGGGAGAGGGAGGGAGGA